rnacentral:rRNA from 1 species
CAGUCGCCGCGGUAAUACAGAGGGUGCGAGCGUUAAUCGGAUUUACUGGGCGUAAAACGUGCGUAGGCGGCUUCUUAAGUCGGAUGUGAAAUCCCUGAGCUUAACUUAGGAAUUGCAUUCGAUACUGGGAAGCUAGAGUAUGGGAGAGGAUGGUAGAAUUCCAGGUGUAGCGGUGAAAUGCGUAGAGAUCUGGAGGAAUACCGAUGGCGAAGGCAGCCAUCUGGCCUAAUACUGACGCUGAGGUACGAAAGCAUGGGGAGCAAACAGGAUUAGAUACCCGCGUAGUCCCUGUCUCUUAUAC